CCUACGGGAGGCUGCAGUGGGGGAUAUUGCACAAUGGGGGGAACCCUGAUGCAGCGACGCCGCGUGGGUGAAGGAGCGUUUCGGUGCGUAAAGCUCUGUCGGCAGGGAAGAAGGAGGACGGUACCUGACUAAGAAGCCCCGGCUAACUACGUGCCAGCAGCCGCGGUAAUACGUAGGGGGCAAGCGUUAUCCGGAUUUACUGGGUGUAAAGGGGGCGCAGACGGCAGGGCAAGCCAGGAGUGAAAGGCCGGGGCCCAACCCCGGGACUGCUCUGGAAACUGUGCGGCUGGAGUGCAGGAGGGGCAAGUGGAAUUCCUGGUGUAGCGGUGAAAUGCGUAGAUAUCAGGAGGAACACCGGUGGCGAAGGCGGCUUACUGGACUGCAACUGACGUUGAGGCCCGAAAGCGUGGGGAGCAAACAGGAUUAGAUACCCGUGUAGUC
rnacentral:rRNA from 1 species